rnacentral:lncRNA from 1 species
AUGUUAAUCUACAUCUCGAGUAGAUCAACGUGAUAUACUUGAAGUCUCAAAACCGAUUUUCGAUGAGUGAGAUAUUGUAUGUCAAAGUUUGGAUGUUGAAGAGGGAAAAUAAAUGCUAUCCCACAUUGGAAAACAUAGAGAUGUUUUUCAUGUAUAAGAAUAGCAAAGCACAUGGAGUUGAUAAAUUGACUUGUGGGCUUGCU